GGGGUCGUAGCCCAGCAAGGUAAGGCGACGGGCUCCAGACCCGUAGAUCGUGGGUUCAAGCGGUUUGCGAAUUAUCUGGGAAUCCCACCGACCCCA
rnacentral:tRNA from 1 species